UGCAUGACGAAAUCGGACAGUGUAACUUGUAUCUUUUACAAGUUUUGAAUUUGUUAUACUCAGUCUAACACAUGUAGAUUCGGAGCACAUUUUACAGAUUACGGUUUAUCUGUUUGGAAUGAGAUGUAUCAAUCGGCAUGAGAUUUAUCAGAACCCUUCGAUAUCGUUGAAAUUAUGCCAUGGCGAUGUGUUCGACGGACUACCAGAGCCACUCAUCCUGCAACCACGCCAAAACAGUAUUGGAAAGUCUCAUUAUAUUUUGCGUUUAUAGACCAUAUGAAAAUCGAAUGCCUAUGAUAAUGGAACUGGAGAGUGGAGUCGCGUCUGGCAUUAUCAGAAACUCGCUUCUUUGUGUCGUAUCUUCUUCCUCCUGUUGUAGGAAAUAUAACAAACGAACAAAUCUCAACAUUGUCAGAGACAUACGAAACUGACCUAGUAUGUAAUUUUGACGAAUUCAAUUGGGAGGUCGCUCGAUGGCGA
rnacentral:lncRNA from 1 species